rnacentral:sRNA from 12 species
CACAACCGGAGUUCUCCGAAAAUAAAGACACAUCGCCCAGGUCAGGGCA